CCGAAGAUGGUCCUCAAACCCCUAUGGCCGACCUGGUAAAGAUGGCUUUUAAAGUUUUUAAUGGCCGAGAGGAAGCUCAAGAACAAAGGCGAUAGGCCCGUCUCCAACAAAAGGGGACGACAGACUAGCAACGCCCCCACGUGGCGAGGCUUCACCCCGAUUGGACUCUGCCUUCCAACUGCUGGAGAUGGAGGAUGACGACUGACGAGGCCCAGACUCAGUAACUCCGGUGACCCACGCUGAGCCCAGGGUAAAACUCCAGGUAGCGGUUUCCCAGGUUGCAUUACACCAGAUGGUGGUCCGGCCAUAUUCCCGCAUUCCAACCUCAAACCCCACAUACCAUG